rnacentral:misc_RNA from 1 species
AAUCAACUAAAUGAAUAUUAUGGCUGAACUAUUAAAUAUGAUUGUUGUAAGACCCAUUCAAUAAAAGAAAAAAAUCUUGAUUAAAGAUAAGUAAUCUUGGUGUGAUUACCAAAUAUAACAAUGUCUAUAAUUAUGUAUGCACUAUUCUCUUAUACCAGCUCUAACUUGAGCAUUCUUCUCUAAUGUACUAUUCUCUCAUAUCAAUUCUAAUUUGAGCGUUAGAGGGUCCUCGCCAAGUCCUUACCCAGUGGACUUAAUUAUUUUCUGUUUUGCAUAUCCAUAUCCACAGAGAAUUUUCAUGGACAGCAACAGAAAAUUAUUUGUGUCGGUU